rnacentral:rRNA from 1 species
CGGGACACGUGGUAUCCUGUCUGAAUAUGGGGGGACCAUCCUCCAAGGCUAAAUACUCCUGACUGACCGAUAGUGAACCAGUACCGUGAGGGAAAGGCGAAAAGAACCCCGGCGAGGGGAGUGAAAAAGAACCUGAAACCGUGUACGUACAAGCAGUGGGAGCACGCUUAGGCGUGUGACUGCGUACCUUUUGUAUAAUGGGUCAGCGACUUAUAUUCUGUAGCAAGGUUAACCGAAUAGGGGAGCCGAAGGGAAACCGAGUCUUAACUGGGCGUUAAGUUGCAGGGUAUAGACCCGAAACCCGGUGAUCUAGCCAUGGGCAGGUUGAAGGUUGGGUAACACUAACUGGAGGACCGAACCGACUAAUGUUGAAAAAUUAGCGGAUGACUUGUGGCUGGGGGUGAAAGGCCAAUCAAACCGGGAGAUAGCUGGUUCUCCCCGAAAGCUAUUUAGGUAGCGCCUCGUGAAUUCAUCUCCGGGGGUAGAGCACUGUUUCGGCAAGGGGGUCAUCCCGACUUACCAACCCGAUGCAAACUGCGAAUACCGGAGAAUGUUAUCACGGGAGACACACGGCGGGUGCUAACGUCCGUCGUGAAGAGGGAAACAACCCAGACCGCCAGCUAAGGUCCCAAAGUCAUGGUUAAGUGGGAAACGAUGUGGGAAGGCCCAGACAGCCAGGAUGUUGGCUUAGAAGCAGCCAUCAUUUAAAGAAAGCGUAAUAGCUCACUGGUCGAGUCGGCCUGCGCGGAAGAUGUAACGGGGCUAAACCAUGCACCGAAGCUGCGGCAGCGACGCUGAUGCGUUGUUGGGUAGGGGAGCGUUCUGUAAGCCUGCGAAGGUGUGCUGUGAGGCAUGCUGGAGGUAUCAGAAGUGCGAAUGCUGACAUAAGUAACGAUAAAGCGGGUGAAAAGCCCGCUCGCCGGAAGACCAAGGGUUCCUGUCCAACGUUAAUCGGGGCAGGGUGAGUCGACCCCUAAGGCGAGGCCGAAAGGCGUAGUCGAUGGGAAACAGGUUAAUAUUCCUGUACUUGGUGUUACUGCGAAGGGGGGACGGAGAAGGCUAUGUUGGCCGGGCGACGGUUGUCCCGGUUUAAGCGUGUAGGCUGGUUUUCCAGGCAAAUCCGGAAAAUCAAGGCUGAGGCGUGAUGACGAGGCACUACGGUGCUGAAGCAACAAAUGCCCUGCUUCCAGGAAAAGCCUCUAAGCAUCAGGUAACAUCAAAUCGUACCCCAAACCGACACAGGUGGUCAGGUAGAGAAUACCAAGGCGCUUGAGAGAACUCGGGUGAAGGAACUAGGCAAAAUGGUGCCGUAACUUCGGGAGAAGGCACGCUGAUAUGUAGGUGAAGUCCCUCGCGGAUGGAGCUGAAAUCAGUCGAAGAUACCAGCUGGCUGCAACUGUUUAUUAAAAACACAGCACUGUGCAAACACGAAAGUGGACGUAUACGGUGUGACGCCUGCCCGGUGCCGGAAGGUUAAUUGAUGGGGUUAGCGCAAGCGAAGCUCUUGAUCGAAGCCCCGGUAAACGGCGGCCGUAACUAUAACGGUCCUAAGGUAGCGAAAUUCCUUGUCGGGUAAGUUCCGACCUGCACGAAUGGCGUAAUGAUGGCCAGGCUGUCUCCACCCGAGACUCAGUGAAAUUGAACUCGCUGUGAAGAUGCAGUGUACCCGCGGCAAGACGGAAAGACCCCGUGAACCUUUACUAUAGCUUGACACUGAACAUUGAGCCUUGAUGUGUAGGAUAGGUGGGAGGCUUUGAAGUGUGGACGCCAGUCUGCAUGGAGCCGACCUUGAAAUACCACCCUUUAAUGUUUGAUGUUCUAACGUUGACCCGUAAUCCGGGUUGCGGACAGUGUCUGGUGGGUAGUUUGACUGGGGCGGUCUCCUCCUAAAGAGUAACGGAGGAGCACGAAGGUUGGCUAAUCCUGGUCGGACAUCAGGAGGUUAGUGCAAUGGCAUAAGCCAGCUUGACUGCGAGCGUGACGGCGCGAGCAGGUGCGAAAGCAGGUCAUAGUGAUCCGGUGGUUCUGAAUGGAAGGGCCAUCGCUCAACGGAUAAAAGGUACUCCGGGGAUAACAGGCUGAUACCGCCCAAGAGUUCAUAUCGACGGCGGUGUUUGGCACCUCGAUGUCGGCUCAUCACAUCCUGGGGCUGAAGUAGGUCCCAAGGGUAUGGCUGUUCGCCAUUUAAAGUGGUACGCGAGCUGGGUUUAGAACGUCGUGAGACAGUUCGGUCCCUAUCUGCCGUGGGCGCUGGAGAACUGAGGGGGGCUGCUCCUAGUACGAGAGGACCGGAGUGGACGCAUCACUGGUGUUCGGGUUGUCAUGCCAAU